GGGGUUGUAGCUUAGUGAUAAAACAUGUGCUCAACAUGUAGGUCCUGGGUUCGAUCCCCAGCAGUGCCA
rnacentral:tRNA from 1 species